rnacentral:tRNA from 1 species
GCGGGAGUGUCAGAGUGGUCAAAUGAGGCAGCCUUAGGAGCUGUUGGCUUAGUGCCUGCAUAGGUUCAAAUCCUAUCUCCCGCA